CGAGAGCCUCCCUGCGUUCACAAGUGCCGUUUGCUUUCUGUGAACACAGCUGGUGGUAUCUCAGU
rnacentral:pre_miRNA from 1 species